CUCCAUGGCUGAAGUGUUGCUUUUACAGAUACCAAAGGUAUGAUGCCAAAAAGACUGGAGCCCAUCUUCUGUAUUGAGAGGUGCCAGACCAAGAGGGCUGGAGGCCCGGCUGGAGAGGGAAAGCAGGCAUUGCCCCUGAAGGUGCGCAGAGAAGCUAGGAUCUGACCUGGAAGAAAGGAGACAGCCACCUUCUCCAGAACCGCAUUAGCAGCGAUUUCCCGA
rnacentral:lncRNA from 1 species